AAUAACAAAUCGAAUUGCGGCGCGAUAACAAAUAUGUAAAGAAAAAAAAAAAAAGGAAAAAAACAAACAAAAACCACAACAAAGUGAAACAAGUGCUAAAGCAAUUAAAACGAAAACCAAAAGGCAAUUAGAAGAAUUUACAAUACUUCUGUGCGAAUGUAAUACGAAUGUGAAUCACAUUAAGAAUAAGCAAAUCAAAAUCAAGCAAACGCUUUAUCUACAUAACUGUAAGCCAGCAACGUGGGAGGCGUCAAGAGAGUAAUAGAAACAAAACGACAGCGAGAGAGAGAGAGAGAGAAAGAGAGCUAGCGAGAGAAAUUGCGAGAUCGUGGCAAGCAACACACAAGGCCAUCCCAUCCAAUAAUCUAUGGAUAAAAUAACAAGAGAAUUUAUUUUCAUACUGGCUUAAAGAUAGCAUCUGGGAAAACAGUAAAAAUAAUCAAGACAACCUGAAAAACAGGGGCAAUAAUUGCAAGAAUUUUUCAUAAGAACAGCAACUGUUGUAUACAUACAUAUAUGCUGCAACAACAACAACAACAACGUCAUCGGCAACAGCAGCAGCA